GGUUUUGUAGUGUAGUGGUGAUCACUCCGGAUUUUGAUUCCGGCAACCCCGGUUCGAACCCGGGCAAGGUAA
rnacentral:tRNA from 1 species